rnacentral:rRNA from 1 species
UGGUCCUAGCCUUAUAAUCAAUUUUUACUUAACUUACACAUGCAAGUCUCCGCACCCCUGUGAAAACGCCCUCAAAUCCCUUCAGGGAUCAGGAGCUGGUAUCAGGCUCGACUUUUCAGCCCACAACACCUAGCCACGCCACACCCACAAGGGUAUUCAGCAGUGAUCAAUAUUGACCAUAAGCGCAAGCUUGACUCAGUCAAAGUAAAUAGGGCCGGCAAAUCUGGUGCCAGCCGCCGCGGCCACACCACGGGCCCAAAUUGAUUACAUUCGGCGUAAAGCGUGAUUAAAGUUCUUUAAAACUGCAGUUAAACCGGGCCUAAAAUGUAAAACCCCUGGCCCCGGGAAACACAAAAACGAAAGUCACUGCAAAACAACCCACUUGACCUCACGACAGUUAGGACACAAACUGGGAUUAGAUACCCCACUAUGCCUAACCGUAAACUUUAACUUACACCCGAAUCGCCAGGGAACUACGAGCAAUGCUUAAAACCCAAAGGACUUGACGGUGCCCCAUUCCACCUAGAGGAGCCUGUCCUAUAAUCGAUAACCCCCGUUUAACCUCACCACUCUUUGCUACCUCAGUCUGUAUACCUCCGUCGUCAGUUUACCACGUGAGCGCCCCCCAGUAAGCAAAAAGGCUAGUUCGCCAAAACGUCAGGUCAAGGUGCAGCUUAUAGAGUGGGAAGAGAUGGGCUACACUCUCUAACAUAGAAAAUACGAAAAACUGUAUAUGAAACUUCAGUUAGAAGGCGGAUUUAGCAGUAAAAUGAGACAAGAGUGCUCAUUUAAAUACGGCCCUGGGGUGUGUACACACCGCCCGUCACCCUCUUCGAAAACAAGAAAAAUAGUUUUUAACACCUAAUUAACCUAAAGAAGAGGCAAGUCGUAACAUGGUAAGCUUACCGGAAGGUGUGCUUGGAAA